AAUGAACGCUAGCGAUAUGCUUAACACAUGCAAGUCUAACGAAGAAAUUCGUGGCAUACGGGUGAGUAAUACGUAGGAACCUACCUUAAAGCUAGGUAUAAUUAUAUCGUAUCUCAAUUGAGAUAUGAGAAGAUUUCUCUUUACCUUAGUGUGGGAGGAAUCAUAAUAAUCCCUAAUAUAAAAAGAUUAAUCGCUAUAAGAUGGGCCUGCGCAGGAUUAGGUAGNGGUAGGGUAAAAGCCUACCAAGCCAAUGAUCCUUAGCUGGUCUGAGAGGAUGAUCAGCCACAAUGGGACUGAGAUACGGCCCAUCCCCCAUAGGGGCAGCAGUGGGAAUAUUGGACAAUGGGCGAAAGCCUGAUCCAGCAAUAUCGAGUGAGU
rnacentral:rRNA from 1 species